GAAGAUAACUCUCAACAACGGAUAUCUUGGUACCCGUAACGAUGAAGAACGCAGCGAAAUGCGAUACGUAGUGUGAAUUGCAGAUUACGUGAACCAUCGAAUCUUUGAACGCAAAUUGCGCCCGAGGCUUCGGCCAAAGGCAUGUCUGCCUCAGCGUCG
rnacentral:rRNA from 1 species